GACGAACGCUGGCGGCGUGCCUAAUACAUGCAAGUCGAACGCAGUGGGGAUGGGUGAGUAACACGUGGGUAACCUCCCAUCAGAGGGGAUAACACUUGGAAACUGCUGCUAAACCGCUACUGCUGGAUGGAUCCGCGGUGCAUUAGCUAGUUGGUGAGGUAACGGCUAACCAAGGCUACGAUGCAUAGCCGGCCGGAGAGGGUGACCGGCCACACUGGGACUGAGACACGGCCCAGACUCCUACGGGAGGCAGCAGUGGGGAAUAUUCAGCAAUGGACGAAAGACUGACCGAGCAACGCCGCGUGAAGGAAGAAGGUUUUCGGAUCGUAAAACUCUGUUAUUAGAGAGGCGGUAUCUAACCAGAAAGCAACGGCUAACUACGUGCCAGCAGCCGCGGUAAUAC
rnacentral:rRNA from 1 species